rnacentral:tRNA from 1 species
UAUUAGUUAAAUAUUAGUUAAUGAACUUGAUACAAGUAUAUAUUUUGAAAAUAUAAAAAAAGAUUUAUUAUUCUUAUUAACU